CCUACGGGGGGCAGCAGUGGGGAAUAUUGGACAAUGGGGGGAACCCUGAUCCAGCGACGCCGCAUGAGUGAAGAAGUAUUUCGGUAUGUAAAGCUCUAUCAGCAGGGAAGAAAGAAAUGACGGUACCUGACUAAGAAGCCCCGGCUAACUACGUGCCAGCAGCCGCGGUAAUACGUAGGGGGCAAGCGUUAUCCGGAUUUACUGGGUGUAAAGGGAGCGUAGACGGCGAUGCAAGUCUGAAGUGAAAGGCGGGGGCCCAACCCCCGGACUGCUUUGGAAACUGUAUGGCUGGAGUGCAGGAGAGGUAAGUGGAAUUCCUAGUGUAGCGGUGAAAUGCGUAGAUAUAUGGAAGAACACCAGUGGCGAAGGCGGCCGCCUGGCCUGUGACUGACGCUGAGGCACGAAAGCGUGGGGAGCAAAUAGGAUUAGAUACCCCUGUAGUC
rnacentral:rRNA from 1 species